ensembl:snRNA U4 U4 spliceosomal RNA
AGCUUUGCGCAGUGGCAGUAUCCUAGCCAAUGAGGUUUAUCUGAGGCGCGAUUAUUACGAAUUGAAAACUCUUAUCCCAAGGGA